rnacentral:lncRNA from 1 species
CAAUAAAACUUUAUUUACAAAAACAGUGGCUGGGCAUAGUGGCUCAUGCCUGUAAUCUUAGCACUUUGGGAGGCCAUAGUGGGUAGAUCACUUGAGCCCAGGAGUUGGUGACUAACCUGGGCAACAUGCAGAAACUCUGUCUCUACUAAAAAUAUUAAAGGUAGUGGCAAAAACCGCAACUGCUUUUGCACCAACCUAAUAGAAAAAUUAGCUGGGCAUGGUGGUGUGUGCCUGUGGUCCCAGCUAGUUGAAGAGCUGAGGUAGGAGGAUGGCUUGAGCCUGGGAGUUGGAGAUUGCAGUGAGCUGAGAUCACGAGACUGCGCUCCAGCCUGGGAGAUAGAAAGAGACCCUGUUUCAAAAAAAGAAGAGGAAGAAGGAGGAGGAGGAGGAGGAGGGGGAGGAAGAGGAGAAGGAGGAGGAGGGGAAGAAAAAAGGCACAGUAAAGAGAAAGAGGUGUUAUUUUAGAGUGCUUAGGAAAGGCCACUUUGAUGAGGCCAUAUGGGAGCAAAGAUAAACAUAAAGCAUGAGUUCAAGCUAUGUGGAUAUGACAGGUAGGGAAAAUAUUCUAGGCAGAGAGAAAAGCAAGCGCACAUGUUUGGUAUAUUGGAAGAAGAGAAAGGAGGCCAGUUGGGUUGGAGUCCAGGGAAUGAAUGGAAGUUGAGACCAAAGAGGUAGAUGUGGUAAAAUUUUGUAUGUCCUUUCAGGCCGUGUAAAAGAAUUUGAUUUUUAUUCUUAAUGAGACUGGAAACCAUUGAAAGAAGAGUGAUAUGAUCUACCUUCUUGGUUACUGGGAUGACCCUAGCAGCCAUGUGAAAUAGACUUUAGGAAGGUAGGAGUAAAAGCAGAGAGACCUAAUAAGAGGCUAUUGUACUAAUCCACAUGACAAAUGAUGUCCAGGGUGAUCAGAGCAGAGGGGCUAAGAGUUGUCAGAUUCUGAAUAUAUAUUGAAGGCAGAGAUGAAAAGUAGAGUGUGAAGGAAGUAUGGAGCCAAGGAGGAGCCAAAAUUUUUUACCUGAUUAAGUAGGAAAAUGUAGUUUUCCUUUAUUGAGAUGGUGAAGACUAUAGAAGAAACAGAUGAGUGGAAGUAAUGAAGAUUUUUUUUUUAAUGAUGUUAUGUUGGACCUCUCAGUGGAAAUGUUAAGUAGGUAGUUAAGUAAGUGCUUUGGAGUUCAGUAGCAAUGUCAUGGGUAGAGGUAAAUAGUUGGGAGUUACCUGAAAUAGAUGGUACUUAAAGACACGAAAUGAGGUUGGAGAAUCACUUGGGAGAAGUGAGAAAAGAAGAGAUCAGGGACUGAGCUCUGGGGCACUCAAAUGUUUUGAGAGUGGGAAGAUGAAGAGCUAACAACAACAGCAACAAACUUAUAAAGAGUGACUAGUGAGAUAGAAAGUGAAGUGAGAGUGACCUCUCAGGGGCUAAGUGAAGAAAGUGUCUCAAGAAGGAGGAAAUGAACAACUUUGGGAAGUAUUGCUAACAUAUUGAGCAAGGUAAGGACAGAGACAUGACCCAGACUGAGCAGCAUGGGAGCCACUGUUGACUUUGACAAGAACAGUUUGAGGAGGGGUAAAGAUAAAAGCCUGUGUAGACUGUAUAUAACAGAGAAUGCGAAGGGCCUAAAUGGUAUCUUCGGUCUGGGAUCUCAAAAUACUUUAUACUCUAUGAUAACAUUUUUCAUAAUGAGAAUUAUUGACUUACAUAGUGAUCUUAAGAGCAAUUUAAAUGUUGAAUCAUUUAUAAAAUUGUUAAUCAUCUUUUACUUGUUUUUAUUUUAUUUUUGUUUUUCACAUUCUACAACACAACACUAGGCACAUAGUACAUACUCAUUAAAUGUUUGUUAAAUGAAUAUGAAAUUGUAAUUUAAGAAGGAAAGAUUUCAUAUAAAUGAAUAUGAAUGCCAUUUUGACUGCAAAAAGUGACACUUAAAAGCAGAAGUUUAAAAGGGUGGAAUGAGUACUAUGUGCUAUAUAGCAUUGUGACACUAUGGAUAUUUGGUUAUACCCUGAUCAUGUUACUCCUCUUUCAGUUCUUUAAAUUAUACAUAUAUCAUCCUGUAUAGUAUAUAGUGAGAUCACUCAGGGGAACUAGUCCAAUUUUACUAAAAAUGAUAGUGAGGCUCUGGAGGAGAUAGGAAAUUUGCCCUCAUUCUGUAGAUUGCGUAUACUUGGUAAAAGAGUCCACAAAAUUUGUAUCACUGCUUUCUUUUGAGGUUCCAAUGUUACUAAUUCACCAUAAUUGUAAGAAAACUCCAAAAAUGUUCACUUCCUUAUCUUUUAGUUAAAGAUCCACUCAAAAAAGUGAGAAUUACUACAAUGAGUUACUUUGGGAUCUGAAUAACAUUGGAUUGAUUAAUUCUCUCUGUUGCAAUGAUUAUUUGAGCAUUCAGUCCUUAGAGUUAUGACUAUUAAAGCACAGAAGCACAAAUUAUUACAUGAUGAUUAAAGUGUCUUUGUGGAUAUACUGCUCAAUAAAAUUAACACUGAGAUCUGAAACACCAUGUUCAAAAGUCAAAUGAUUUUUCCAAGCGGAAAAGGGAGCCUCAUUUUGGCAGAUAAAAAUUGCGAUACUUCUAUCUCUGAGUAAGGAUUAGUGUAGUCAGUUAUUGAAAAUUAGUGAUCUGACUAUAUUGUAUUUAUUUAAUAUAGGAAGAAGUCUUUAUAAAUGUUGGGUGAGUCAUUUCAUAAGACUAAAGCCAAGCAAAAUUAGAGCCCUCCUGGUUGAAGGUAUUUUUAUUGCAAUGAGAAGGUUUCUUUCUGAGUAUUAGACAUACAAGUGUGGUCUAACUUUGGCAUGGAAAGUAAGUCAUGAAUUCUAAGGCAGAGACUCUUAAUUUCUUGAAUAUGUAAUGCCAUAGACAUAUUUAGACACAUUUACUAUAAGAUGCCAAAAACAUACGCAAUCAAGGAAAUUAAGUAGAGGCAACUGAAUAUUUUUUUCCUUUACAUUCCACUUGUCAAUGAUCUCAAGGACCAAAUACCUGUUCUUUAUACAAAGGGCAUAUACAAAGGUUUUACAGAAAAAUAACCUUAUAGAAAAACUCUUAUGAGUUACUCUUUAGUCUCUAGUGAGUUUCCUGUUUUGUAGGUCAUAAAUUUAAUAGGCUGUAAUGCUAUUCAAACAACACAGAUACUUAACAUACCAUGAAAAGCCCAUAAGCUAUGGCAAAUUAUGAAAAUAUCUCAAUGCUGUGGUCACAAAAGUGAACAAUCUUCUUGACAGGAACUUCAAAGGUAAAAUGAAAUUACAUUUCCCACUUAUUUCUGAGGCAUUGACCGGUAACCUUAGUCUCCUGUGAUUUCACCCAUGCUGCUUCUAGAGAUGAUGUUCUAUCCAGCCAGUCAACAAUUCUCAAGCGGAGUGGCUCUAGAAACUCAGCUCUUGAAAACAUCACGGAGCUUUAUCAGUGAUAAGGCCAAGAGGUUGCAACUACUAUUAUCUUUGGACACACAAAAGAAUCACCUGGUCCAGGUCAGAGAGCACUUUUCUGGUGUUCUUGGUGUCAGUAUAAUGUGCCAUUUAAUUAGGAGUCUGGUUUAAAGAGCGCACCUGGGAGUGCGCCAGUGCUGUAGCCUCUUCCUCCCUGGGAGUAUUGCAAAGGUAAACAAAAAAUAAACAAGAUAA